rnacentral:rRNA from 1 species
GAUGAACGCUGGCGGCGUGCUUAACACAUGCAAGUCGAACGAUGAAGCCCAGCUUGCUGGGUGGAUUAGUGGCGAACGGGUGAGUAACACGUGAGUAACCUGCCCUUAACUCUGGGAUAAGCCUGGGAAACUGGGUCUAAUACCGGAUAGGAGCGUCCACCGCAUGGUGGGUGUUGGAAAGAUUUAUCGGUUUUGGAUGGACUCGCGGCCUAUCAGCUUGUUGGUGAGGUAAUGGCUCACCAAGGCGACGACGGGUAGCCGGCCUGAGAGGGUGACCGGCCACACUGGGACUGAGACACGGCCCAGACUCCUACGGGAGGCAGCAGUGGGGAAUAUUGCACAAUGGGCGCAAGCCUGAUGCAGCGACGCCGCGUGAGGGAUGACGGCCUUCGGGUUGUAAACCUCUUUCAGUAGGGAAGAAGCGAAAGUGACGUUACCUGCAGAAGAAGCACCGGCUAACUACGUG